ACUGCGGUGAAAGCCGAGGCAGCGGGCAGACGAGCAGGGGGCGGGCGGACAUCUUGGGAUCCGGAGAGUGGCCGGGCCGGCAGAGCAGGGGGCCGCAGACACCAGGUCUGUUCUCAGAGCGAUGGGCCGCGGAGACUGAUCUGCCGCCAUGAUUGGAGGCUUAUUCAUCUAUAAUCACAAGGGGGAGGUGCUCAUCUCCCGAGUCUACCGAGAUGACAUCGGGAGGAACGCAGUGGAUGCCUUUCGGGUCAAUGUUAUCCAUGCCCGGCAGCAGGUGCGCAGCCCCGUCACCAACAUUGCUCGCACCAGCUUCUUCCACGUUAAGCGGUCCAACAUUUGGCUGGCAGCAGUCACCAAGCAGAAUGUCAACGCUGCCAUGGUCUUCGAAUUCCUCUAUAAGAUGUGUGACGUGAUGGCUGCCUACUUUGGCAAGAUCAGCGAGGAAAACAUCAAGAACAAUUUUGUGCUCAUAUAUGAGCUGCUGGAUGAGAUUCUAGACUUUGGCUACCCACAGAAUUCCGAGACAGGCGCGCUGAAAACCUUCAUCACGCAGCAGGGCAUCAAGAGUCAGGUACUUGAAUUGUGCAGACUAUAGUCAGGAUGGAGUCCCUUCAUCUCAGCUGGCCCCUGAGCCUUGUCCGAGCUGACUCAUGAGCCCUCCCAUGACAGGAAGUGCUGGCCUGAGCCUCCUGCCAUGGGCAUGAUUGCAGGCCUCUUUUGCUCCGUAUGGUCCUCCCACUGCAGGAGCAGCCAAUUCAGCAUCUCUGUUACCAGGAAUACAGCUCAAGCAGUUUC
rnacentral:sRNA from 1 species